GUAGGUGGCAAGCGUUGUCCGGAAUUAUUGGGCGUAAAGCGCGCGCAGGCGGGUUCUUUAAGUCUGAUGUGAAAGCCCACGGGCCCAACCGUGGAGGGUCAUUGGAAACUGGAGAACUUGAGUACAGAAGAGGAAAGCGGAAUUCCACGUGUAGCGGUGAAAUGCGUAGAGAUGUGGAGGAACACCAGUGGCGAAGGCGGCUUUCUGGUCUGUAACUGACGCUGAGGCGCGAAAGCGUGGGGAGCAAACAGGAUUAGAUACCCCGGUAGUCCACGCCGUAAACGAUGAGUGCUAAGUGUUAGGGGGUUUCCGCCCCUUAGUGCUGCAGCUAACGCAUUAAGCACUCCGCCUGGGGAGUACGGCCGCAAAGGCUG
rnacentral:rRNA from 1 species